ACUAUAGAUGACGACGAGAUGAUCCACUUUAUUUUGAAUGGUCUUGAUUUUGACUAUAAUCCCUUUGUGACAUCUAUGCUCGGUCGUGUUGGGUUUUUUUCUUUGAGCGAUCUGUAUUCUCAAUUGCUCACAUUUGAUC
rnacentral:snoRNA from 1 species